rnacentral:rRNA from 1 species
GAUGAACGCUGGCGGCGUGCUUAACACAUGCAAGUCGAACGGAAAGGCCCAAGCUUGCUUGGGUACUCGAGUGGCGAACGGGUGAGUAACACGUGGGUGAUCUGCCCUGCACUUCGGGAUAAGCCUGGGAGACUGGGUCUAAUACCGGAUAGGACGAUGGUUUGGAUGCCAUUGUGGAAAGUUUUUUCGGUGUGGGAUGAGCUCGCGGCCUAUCAGCUUGUUGGUGGGGUAAUGGCCUACCAAGGCGUCGACGGGUAGCCGGCCUGAGAGGGUGUACGGCCACAUUGGGACUGAGAUACGGCCCAGACUCCUACGGGAGGCAGCAGUGGGGAAUAUUGCACAAUGGGCGCAAGCCUGAUGCAGCGACGCCGCGUGGGGGAUGACGGCCUUCGGGUUGUAAACUCCUUUCGCUAGGGACGAAGCGUUUUUGUGACGGUACCUGGAGAAGAAGCACCGGCUAACUACGUG